rnacentral:rRNA from 1 species
CUAAGAAUAUUCCGCAAUGGACGGAAGUCUGACGGAGCGACGCCGCGUGGAUGACGAAGGCCGAAAGGUUGUAAAGUUCUUUUGCUGGGGAAGAAUAACCGCAGGAGGGAAUGCCUGUGGGAUGACAAGAACCGGCGAAUAAGCCCCGGCCAACUACGUGCCAGCAGCCGCGGUAACACGUAGGGGGCGAGCGUUGUUCGGAAUUACUGGGCGUAAAGGGCAUGUAGGCGGCUUGGAAAGCCUGGCGUGAAAGUCUGCAGCUUAACUGCAGGGGUGCGCUGGGAACUGCUGAGCUUGAGUGACGGAGAGGGAGCUGGAAUUCCUGGUGUAGGGGUGAAAUCUGUAGAUAUCAGGAAGAACACCGAUGGCGAAGGCAAGCUCCUGGCCGAUGACUGACGCUGAGGUGCGAAAGUGUGGGGAUCAAAACAGGAUUAGAUACCCUGGUAGUCCACACAGUCAACGAUGUGCACUAGGUGCUGGGGCGGUAGCUUCGGUGCCGGAGCGAACGUGGUAAGUGCACCGCCUGGGGAGUAUGCUCGCAAGGGUG